rnacentral:rRNA from 1 species
UAGGGAAUCUUCCGCAAUGGACGCAAGUCUGACGGAGCAACGCCGCGUGAGUGAAGAAGGAUUUCGGUUCGUAAAACUCUGUUGUUAGAGAAGAACAGCGCAUAGAGUAACUGUUAUGCGUGUGACGGUAUCUAACCAGAAAGCCACGGCUAACUACGUGCCAGCAGCCGCGGUAAUACGUAGGUGGCAAGCGUUGUCCGGAUUUAUUGGGCGUAAAGCGAGCGCAGGCGGUCAAUUAAGUCUGAUGUGAAAGCCCCCGGCUCAACCGGGGAGGGUCAUUGGAAACUGGUUGACUUGAGUGCAGAAGAGGAGAGGGGAAUUCCAUGUGUAACGGUGAAAUGCGUAGAUAUAUGGAGGAACACCAGUGGCGAAGGCGACUCUCUGGUCUGUAACUGACGCUGAGGCUCGAAAGCGUGGGGAGCGAACAGG